rnacentral:misc_RNA from 1 species
UAAACCUUACACACAUUGUCUAGUUUUUUUGAACUUUGCUUUGGGUAAGCUUUCAUGGCUUGCCCAGAGGACAACUAACCACAUUUUUUACAAAUGUUUUAAACCUUUAACCAAUAGUCAUGAAAAUUUUUAACAAAAUUAAA